AAAAAAAAAAAAAACUCAAUUUUCAUAUUGCAAGUUGAUAAAAAAAAUAUCAGCAUAAAAAUAAGUAAAUAAAGGGUUAUGGGUGUAACGCAAUUUUUCUUUUAUUUGUAGAAAAUUCAAUUAUUCUAUGCACAUUAGUAGUAUUGUAUCUCUUGGAAAAGAUCCAUCAUGCCUCCAGGAAUCCAAGUCCUUUUCUGUUUUGUACAUACAGAAUGACAUUUGCAGGAAGUAAAGUAUUAUUAAUUGUUGAUGAACAAUGUACCCUCUAAUUUGUCAGCUAAUUCUGAUACCCUGAAGUGAUAGAUUUGGAUGUUCUCAACAUCAA
rnacentral:misc_RNA from 1 species